UGGGGAAUUUUGGACAAUGGGCGAAAGCCUGAUCCAGCAAUGCCGCGUGUGUGAAGAAGGCCUUCGGGUUGUAAAGCACUUUUGUCCGGAAAGAAAUCCUCUGGGUUAAUACCUCGGGGGGAUGACGGUACCGGAAGAAUAAGCACCGGCUAACUACGUGCCAGCAGCCGCGGUAAUACGUAGGGUGCAAGCGUUAAUCGGAAUUACUGGGCGUAAAGCGUGCGCAGGCGGUUUUGUAAGACGGAUGUGAAAUCCCCGGGCUUAACCUGGGAACUGCAUUCGUGAAUGCAAGGCUAGAGUAUGGCAGAGGGGGGUAGAAUUCCACGUGUAGCAGUGAAAUGCGUAGAGAUGUGGAGGAAUACCGAUGGCGAAGGCAGCCCCCUGGGCCAAUACUGACGCUCAUGCACGAAAGCGUGGGGAGCAAACA
rnacentral:rRNA from 1 species